rnacentral:rRNA from 1 species
GAUGAACGCUGGCGGCGUGCUUAACACAUGCAAGUCGAACGGAAAGGCCCAAGCUUGCUUGGGUACUCGAGUGGCGAACGGGUGAGUAACACGUGGGUGAUCUGCCCUGCACUUCGGGAUAAGCCUGGGAAACUGGGUCUAAUACCGGAUAGGACCACAUUUUGGAUGGUGUGGUGGAAAGUUUUUCGGUGUGGGAUGAGCUCGCGGCCUAUCAGCUUGUUGGUGGGGUAAUGGCCUACCAAGGCGUCGACGGGUAGCCGGCCUGAGAGGGUGUACGGCCACAUUGGGACUGAGAUACGGUCCAGACUCCUACGGGAGGCAGCGGUGGGGAAUAUUGCACAAUGGGCGCAAGCCUGAUGCAGCGACGCCGCGUGGGGGAUGACGGCCUUCGGGUUGUAAACUCCUUUCGCUAGGGACGAAGCGUUAUGUGACGGUACCUGGAGAAGAAGCACCGGCUAACUACGUG